UUACACAUGCAGUCGAACGGGAUCCAUCAGGCUUUGCUUGGUGGUGAGAGUGGCGAACGGGUGAGUAAUGCGUGACCGACCUGCCCCAUACACCGGAAUAGCUCCUGGAAACGGGUGGUAAUGCCGGAUGCUCCGACUCCUCGCAUGGGGUGUCGGGAAAGAUUUCAUCGGUAUGGGAUGGGGUCGCGUCCUAUCAGGUAGUCGGCGGGGUAACGGCCCACCGAGCCUACGACGGGUAGCCGGCCUGAGAGGGCGACCGGCCACAUUGGGACUGAGAUACGGCCCAGACUCCUACGGGAGGCAGCAGUGGGGAAUAUUGCACAAUGGGCGCAAGCCUGAUGCAGCGACGCCGCGUGCGGGAUGACGGCCUUCGGGUUGUAAACCGCUUUUGAUCGGGAGCAAGCCUUCGGGUGAGUGUACCUUUCGAAUAAGCACCGGCUAACUACGUGCCAGCAGCCGCGGUAAUACGUAGGGUGCAAGCGUUAUCCGGAAUUAUUGGGCGUAAAGGGCUCGUAGGCGGUUCGUCGCGUCCGGUGUGAAAGUCCAUCGCUUAACGGUGGAUCUGCGCCGGGUACGGGCGGGCUGGAGUGCGGUAGGGGAGACUGGAAUUCCCGGUGUAACGGUGGAAUGUGUAGAUAUCGGGAAGAACACCAAUGGCGAAGGCAGGUCUCUGGGCCGUUACUGACGCUGAGGAGCGAAAGCGUGGGGAGCGAACAGGAUUAGAUACCCUGGUAGUCCACGCCGUAAACGGUGGAUGCUGGAUGUGGGGCCCGUUCCACGGGUUCCGUGUCGGAGCUAACGCGUUAAGCAUCCCGCCUGGGGAGUACGGCCGCAAGGCUAAAACUCAAAGAAAUUGACGGGGGCCCGCACAAGCGGCGGAGCAUGCGGAUUAAUUCGAUGCAACGCGAAGAACCUUACCUGGGCUUGACAUGUUCCCGACAGCCGUAGAGAUAUGGCCUCCCUUCGGGGCGGGUUCACAGGUGGUGCAUGGUCGUCGUCAGCUCGUGUCGUGAGAUGUUGGGUUAAGUCCCGCAACGAGCGCAACCCUCGCCCUGUGUUGCCAGCACGUCAUGGUGGGAACUCACGGGGGACCGCCGGGGUCAACUCGGAGGAAGGUGGGGAUGACGUCAGAUCAUCAUGCCCCUUACGUCCAGGGCUUCACGCAUGCUACAAUGGCCGGUACAACGGGAUGCGACACGGCGACGUGGAGCGGAUCCCUGAAAACCGGUCUCAGUUCGGAUUGGAGUCUGCAACCCGACUCCAUGAAGGCGGAGUCGCUAGUAAUCGCGGAUCAGCAACGCCGCGGUGAAUGCGUUCCCGGGCCUUGUACACACCGCCCGUCAAGUCAUGAAAGUGGGUAGCACCCGAAGCCGGUGGCCUAACCCUUUGUGGAUGGAGCCGUCU
rnacentral:rRNA from 1 species